rnacentral:tRNA from 1 species
GGGGAUUUAGCUCAGUGGUAGAGCGCUUGCCGAGGAAGCGCAAGGCCCUGGGUUCAGUCCCCA